rnacentral:rRNA from 1 species
GAAAAACCCCGAGGGCUCAACCCUCGGGCCUGCAGUGGGUACGGGCCAGAACUAGAGUGCGGUAGGGGAGAUUGGAAUUUCCUGGUGUAGCGGUGGAAUGCGCCAGAUAUCAGGAGGAACCCCGAUGGGCGAAGGCAGAUCUCUGGGGCCGUAACUGACGCUGAGGAGCGAAAGGGUGGGGAGCAAACAGGCUUAGAUACCCUGGUAGUCCACCCCGUAAACGUUGGGAACUAGUUGUGGGGUCCAUUCCACGGAUUCCGUGACGCAGCUAACGCAUUAAGUUCCCCGCCUGGGGAGUACGGCCGCAAGGCUAAAACUCAAAGGAAUUGACGGGGACCCGCACAAGCGGCGGAGCAUGCGGAUUAAUUCGAUGCAACGCGAAGAACCUUACCAAGGCUUGACAUAUACGAGAACGGGCCAGAAAUGGUCAACUCUUUGGACACUCGUAAACAGGUGGUGCAUGGUUGUCGUCAGCUCGUGUCGUGAGAUGUUGGGUUAAGUCCCGCAACGAGCGCAACCCUCGUUCUAUGUUGCCAGCACGUAAUGGUGGGAACUCAUGGGAUACUGCCGGGGUCAACUCGGAGGAAGGUGGGGAUGACGUCAAAUCAUCAUGCCCCUUAUGUCUUGGGCUUCACGCAUGCUACAAUGGCCGGUACAAAGGGCUGCAAUACCGCAAGGUGGAGCGAAUCCCAAAAAGCCGGUCCCAGUUCGGAUUGAGGUCUGCAACUCGACCUCAUGAAGUCGGAGUCGCUAGUAAUCGCAGAUCAUGCAA